rnacentral:rRNA from 1 species
AUUGAACGCUGGCGGCAGGCCUAACACAUGCAAGUCGAACGAGUGGCGGACGGGUGAGUAAUGUCCGGGACACUGCCCGAUGGAAGGGGAGAACUACUGGAAACGGUAGCUAAUACCGCAUACCACAGGACGUCCACAGAUGGGAUUAGCUUGUAGGUGAGGUAACGGCCCACCGAGGCGACGCUCCCUAGCUGGUCUGAGAGGAUGACCAGCCAGACUGGAACUGCGACACGGUCCAGACUCCUACGUGAGGCAGCAGUGGGGAAUAUUGCACAAUGGGCGCAAGCCUGAUGCAGCCAUGCCGCGUGUAUGAAGAAGGCCUUCGGGUUGUAAAGUACUGUCAGCGGGGAGGCGUUACCCGCAGAAGAAGCACCGGCUAACUCCGUGCCAGCAGCCGCGGUAAUUC